rnacentral:rRNA from 1 species
AACGAACGCUGGCGGCGUGGAUAAGACAUGCAAGUCGAACGGGAUUUUGCCUGUAGCAAUACAGGUGGGGUCUAGUGGCGUAAGGGUGCGUAACACGUGGGUAAUCUGCCGAGAAGUGGGGGAUAGCUCGUCGAAAGGCGAAUUAAUACCGCAUAUGGUUAGUGGAGGAUCUUCACGACACCAAAGCCGGGGUAACCUGGCGCUUCUUGAUGAACCCGCGGCCUAUCAGCUAGUUGGUGAGGUAACGGCUCACCAAGGCUAUGACGGGUAGCUGGUCUGAGAGGACGACCAGUCACACUGGAACUGAGACACGGUCCAGACACCUACGGGUGGCAGCAGUCGAGAAUUUUUCUCAAUGGGGGAAACCCUGAAGGAGCGACGCCGCGUGGAGGAUGAAGGUCUUCGGAUCGUAAACUCCUGUCAUUUGGGAACAAUUGUUAGCGAUUAACUGUCGUUAACUUGAUAGUACCAGAAGAGGAAGAGACGGCUAACUCUGUG